rnacentral:rRNA from 1 species
GACGAACGCUGGCGGCGUGCUUAACACAUGCAAGUCGAACGGAAAGGCCCUGCUUUUGUGGGGUGCUCGAGUGGCGAACGGGUGAGUAACACGUGAGUAACCUGCCCUUGACUUUGGGAUAACUUCAGGAAACUGGGGCUAAUACCGGAUAGGAGCUCCUGCUGCAUGGUGGGGGUUGGAAAGUUUCGGCGGUUGGGGAUGGACUCGCGGCUUAUCAGCUUGUUGGUGGGGUAGUGGCUUACCAAGGCUUUGACGGGUAGCCGGCCUGAGAGGGUGACCGGGCACCUGGGGCCUGCGAUAGGGACCAGACUCCUACGGGAGGCAGAAGUGGGGAAUAUUGCCCAAUGGGCGGAAGCCUGAUGCAGCAACGCCGCGUGCGGGAUGACGGCCUUCGGGUUGUAAACCGCUUUCGCCUGUGACGAAGCGUGAGUGACGGUAAUGGGUAAAGAAGCACCGGCUAACUACGUG